CGGGUUAGAGUGCUUAAUAUGAGAAGAAGAAAGAAAAACAAUAGUGGUUCGUGAAUCCACUAUUUUGUUCUAAUUUUAAAGGAUCGAAAGAUCUUAUUAUUGUCAUGGUAUCUUAUUUUGACCUUAGUGGUAGAACGGUAAGGAGUUGUAAAGAGCGAGAGGUACUUGCAUGCAAACUUGCUGAUUUAAUUUGUGGUAUCUAAUUAAAGGUGGUGCAUGGUACUUUAUAUCUUAUAUUGAUGACUGACUUACGAGAACUUGGUCUUCUUCACGAUGGAUAAAUUAGAAAUUUUCACAAAGUCCAGACAUUGGAAGAAAAGAGGUGGAGAAACGGACUAGCGAGUAAGUAAAGAUGAUAUUAAGGACUGACAAUGCUGGUGAGUUCACUUCAAAAGAGCUUAAAAAAUUCUGCUAGGAAUUAGGUAUUGUUCAUCCCUUUACACUUUCAAGAGUAUUGUAGAAUGACACGCUACACAGAGUAGACCGACUGUACCAGCCCAAGAUUUGGAACAAAUACAACAAAAAAAAAACCACAAAAAAAUACUAGAAGAAAAAUAAUUAGGAGAGUCCUCUCUCUUUUCUCAUGCCACUCUAAAAGAGACAAUAAAGCUGUGGGAUGUUUACUAUGUUUGGAUGUCCUGCAGAUGUGUACAGACGGGAGGGGAGUGCACCAAGUAGAUGCAAGGUCCAAGGCUUGCAUUCUACUGAGAUUUGAGAAGGAAUUCAAACGGUGUAAGCUGUAGGACCCUAACCCUAGGAAGAAAAUCAUCAAUGAUGUGUUUGAUAAGAAGUCUUUGUUUAAGAAAUCCUAUGAAGAUACUUGGCAGCAAUACAAGGAGAAUGAGCCAUUUGAGAAGAUAGAUGAACAACUGGAGGACCAAUCAUCAAGAAGUUCAUUAUGUUCCACAGGAGUAGAUAAAGGAUGGUACUUUAGGUAACGGCAUUUCAAAGGAGCGCUAGUCUAUUGCAAAAAGAAGGGAGAAGAGACAAACAUGCAGACCAUUGGAAUAUAGUAGGAGGAUUAUGUUGGAAAUAUAUUACCUAAAACUAUAAUAUCUUUAUUUUAUAAACUUAUUAUA
rnacentral:lncRNA from 1 species